AGCUGGUCUGAGAGGACGAUCAGCCACACUGGGACUGAGACACGGCCCAGACUCCUACGGGAGGCAGCAGUGGGGAAUAUUGGACAAUGGGCGCAAGCCUGAUCCAGCAAUACCGCGUGUGUGAAGAAGGCCCUAGGGUUGUAAAGCACUUUCAAUGGGGAGGAAAACCUGCCGGUCAAUACCCGGUAGCUUGACAUUACCUAUAGAAGAAGCACCGGCUAACUCCGUGCCAGCAGCCGCGGUAAUACGGAGGGUGCGAGCGUUAAUCGGAAUUACUGGGCGUAAAGCGUGCGUAGGUGGCUCGUUAAGUCAGAUGUGAAAGCCCUGGGCUCAACCUGGGAACUGCAUUUGAAACUGGUGAGCUAGAGUUGAGUAGAGGGAGUGGAAUUUCAGGUGUAGCGGUGAAAUGCGUAGAUAUCUGAAGGAACACCAGUGGCGAAGGCGGCGUCCUGGACUCAAACUGACGCUGAGGUACGAAAGCGUGGGUAGCAAACAGGAUUAGAUACCU
rnacentral:rRNA from 1 species